AUGGCGUCCUCCAUGGAGGAGAAGUUGGAUAUGGCGCAUGAUUUCUAUCGAAAUCUGCUUGGUGUCCCAACUGCUAGGCACAAGAUCUUAAAGCUAGAAUGUCUAGGCCUUGGCAAGAUAUCUGCGGCAGCGGCGCGGGACUUGGAGGCUCCUUUUUCUAGAGAGGAGAUCAAGAAGGGGUGGUGUUCCUGGAUAUGCGGUCUUCUGAGCUCGGCGUCCUCAGCAGUACUCAUCAACGGCGAAACCAGCUCACCGUUCGCACUGGGGAAGGGAGUCAGGAAGGGAGACUCCCUGUCGCCGGCACUCUUCAUCCUCGUCAUCGACGCGCUGCAAGGCAUGAUUGAUUGGGCCUGGAGUAAUAACCUGCUGGCCAGCCUUGGACUGGAUAACAGGUUAAAGAGACAAGACAUACUCCCACUGAUCGACAGAUUCUCUAGCAAGAUGAAAGGUUGGAAACCCAAGCUGGUGGCCCCUACUGGAAGACUAGCUUUGACGAGUUCGGUGCUAAUGGCCCUACCGAUUCACUUUCUGUCGGUCUUCCCUCUACCGGUUUGCUCACUCAAGAUCAUUGACAGAAGAUGUAGAAGUUUUCUGUGGAAAGGAGAGGAGGACAUCCAUGGAGGGCAUUGUUUGGUUCCAUGGGCCAGAGUUUGCAGACCAAAAGAAUGGGGCGGGCCCGGCCUUCUCAAUUUGAAGAACUUUGGGACUGCACUUAGAUGCCGUUGGCUAUGGCUGGGCUGGAGUCCUGGGAAUCGACCAUGGCAACUGCUUCCUGACCAGCAGGACAAGGCUGCCUCUGCUAUGUUCGAUGCGGCAUGCCGGGUUGUGCUGGGGAAUGGUGCGACUGCAAGAUUCUGGACAGACAAUUGGGCUCCAGGGGGCAGGAGUAUCGCGGUUUUUGCCUCCGCGCUAUUUUCCUUCGUGAAAGACUCCAAGCUGUCAGUUAAAGAUGCGUUGCAUAAUUGUAGGUGGAUCAAGGACAUUAGAGGUGGCCUGACAACACAGGCCUUGGCGCAAUACUUAUUGCUAUGGACGGCGUUCCAGCAAUGGACGGUUGUUAGUUUCCCAGCGCCGGACAGUAGUUAUGGAAGCACCGAGGACUGGUGGUUGGAGGCGAGAAGGGCUAUUCCGAAGCAUGCGCGCCGGAACUUCGACACCAUUGUCAUCCUCAUACACUGGAGGGUCUGGAAGGAGCGGAACGCUAGAAUUUUUCAGCAAACCGCGUGUAAUAUUGAGCGAGUUUUAGACCUCAUCAGAGAGGACAUGGGAGUUCGGAGGUCUACAGGGUGUGUGUCCGACUUGGGGAGCUAG
rnacentral:rRNA from 1 species